AUAUAUGGCCGACGUGGGUCGAAGUGUAGUAUCUGUUCUUAUCAGCUUAAUAUCUGGUACGGGUUGUAUUUUGACCCAAGAUGUUAAGCUUAUUUUUGCUAGUUGUCGGAGUGCUUGAAGCCUGCUUCACCUCAGCCGCGGGUUGGCCCGGUAUUGCACUACCUUCGAGAUCGGCCCACGUUUU